rnacentral:rRNA from 1 species
UACGUAGGGCGCAAGCGCUAUCCGGAAUUAUUGGGCGUAAAGAGCUCGUAGGCGGUUUGUCGCGUCUGCCGUGAAAGUCCGGGGCUCAACUCCGGAUCUGCGGUGGGUACGGGCAGACUAGAGUGAUGUAGGGGAGACUGGAAUUCCUGGUGUAGCGGUGAAAUGCGCAGAUAUCAGGAGGAACACCGAUGGCGAAGGCAGGUCUCUGGGCAUUAACUGACGCUGAGGAGCGAAAGCAUGGGGAGCGAACAGG